CCUAGCAGCAUUCGUCAAAGUUUGCGGGAAGGCCUUACACAUCACCUGAUCUGGUGCAACCUGUAGAUUCAUGACGUCCGUGUAUAUGUUCAGAUGAUUGAUUGGAUCGGUGAUCCCAUCAUAUUCUUUGAUCCUAGGAUACUUAAAUCUGUCUGGUAAGGGGAAUGUUAAUAUUUCGGAAGUAAAUGGAGUGUUGGGACUGAAUCUUGUCGUCCCUUUGUUGCCCUGAAGUAGGCCCGCCGUAAUUCCUUCUUGAAUAAUUCUAGCGAGUUCCCCGAAAUCCAUGGUCACUGAUCUCGAGGCCGAGGUCACAUGUGGUAUACCCGAGGCCCCUGCUCCGCCAUUGUCAGGGGCAUGUGUUUGAGCUCGAGCUCGAGCAUCAGCCAUAAAACCCCCCCGGGGUGCUGGUGUAGGUGACGGAUGCGAAUUUCUUUGACUUAGCAGCUGAGUCAGUGUGGCGACCUGUUGUCUGAGCUCUUCAAAGGCUCCAGCAGUGACGACCGCCGGCUGGGGCUCUGACACUUCUAAUGAUUCCUCUUGAAGAACAGGGAUAUCCUCAGGAGGGGGUUGGUUUGGAGCGGAUGAGCUUGCUGGUGGAAGAUCUGAACGUGUGUUUACCAUGGCUUUUGGUAGCGCUUCCCACAGACGGCGCCAAUGAUGCUACCAAAAAUCGUACCUGUAGAUUUUCCGAGCUUGAUGACUGGUGAGGAGCACGAACGUGAUCUUCCGAUACCUUAAACAAAGGCAACGAGGUGUGUUCUCGUCGCCCCUCCGAUGCUUAAGUCAGAAAGGGAAAUAUAUGCGUGAGACUA
rnacentral:lncRNA from 1 species